rnacentral:rRNA from 1 species
CUUCCUGUUAACUCUUAAUAAACUUACACAUGCAAGCAUCUACACCCCAGUGAGAAUGCCCUCUAGUGUUAUUAAAACUAAGAGUGAGCUGGCAUCAAGCACACACCCUGUAGCUCACUGACGCCUUGCUUAACCACACCCCCACGGGAAACAGCAGUGACAAAAAUUAAGCCAUAAACGAAAGUUUGACUAAGUUAUAUUAAUUAGGGUUGGUAAAUCUCGUGCCAGCCACCGCGGUCAUACGAUUAACCCAAGCUAACAGGAGUACGGCGUAAAACGUGUUAAAGCACCAUACCAAAUAGGGUUAAAUUCUAACUAAGCUGUAAAAAGCCAUGAUUAAAAUAAAAAUAAAUGACGAAAGUGACCCUACAAUAGCCGACGCACUAUAGCUAAGACCCAAACUGGGAUUAGAUACCCCACUAUGCUUAGCCCUAAACACAGAUAAUUACAUAAACAAAAUUAUUCGCCAGAGUACUACUAGCAACAGCUUAAAACUCAAAGGACUUGGCGGUGCUUUAUAUCCUUCUAGAGGAGCUGUUCUAUAAUCGAUAAACCCGAUAAACCUCACAAUUCUUGCUAAUACAGUCUAUAUACCGGCAUCUUCAG